AAUGAAUCCGGUUGAUCCUGCCGGACCUGACUGCUAUCGGAUUGGUACUAAGCCAUGCGAGUCAUUGCAGCAAU
rnacentral:rRNA from 1 species